AAGGAUUUAAGUUAAAUUAAACUAAAAGCCUUCAAAGCUUUAAAUAAAGAUUAUCUUUAAGCCUUA
rnacentral:tRNA from 2 species